UAGGGAAUCUUCGGCAAUGGACGAAAGUCUGACCGAGCAACGCCGCGUGAGUGAAGAAGGUUUUCGGAUCGUAAAACUCUGUUGUUAGAGAAGAACAAGGACGUUAGUAACUGAACGUCCCCUGACGGUAUCUAACCAGAAAGCCACGGCUAACUACGUGCCAGCAGCCGCGGUAAUACGUAGGUGGCAAGCGUCGUCCGGAUUUAUUGGGCGUAAAGCGAGCGCAGGCGGUUUCUUAAGUCUGAUGUGAAAGCCCCCGGCUCAACCGGGGAGGGUCAUUGGAAACUGGGGGACUUGAGUGCAGAAGAGGAGAGUGGAAUUCCAUGUGUAGCGGUGAAAUGCGUAGAUAUAUGGGGGAACACCAGUGGCGAAGGCGGCUCUCUGGUCUGUAACUGACGAUGAGGCUCGAAAGCGUGGGGAGCAAACAGG
rnacentral:rRNA from 1 species